GUGCUCAAUUUGGCAGCACAUAUACUAAAAUUGGAACUAUACAGAGAAGAUUAGCAUGGUCCCUGCAUAAGGAAGACACACAAGUCGGUGAAGCGUUCCAAAACUGU
rnacentral:snRNA from 1 species